GAAGCCAGCCCUCACUCUCGCACUCAGGGUCUUCGGGGUUGGCCACGCCUUCCAGCGCCGUGUGCAAGUAGCGCAGCCCGACGGUGAUGGUCACCUGGUGUGGGGAGAGGAGACUUAGAGGAGAUCUGGGAGAAGUAGCUGGGGCAGGGGUUACCAGGAAACCGUGGCAGCCACCAGCCUGCUCAUCCUGGGGGCCCUUCAAACAAGGUUCUGUUGGGGCUGGGUUGGCGAGGCCCUUCCCGCCCCAGCAAGGCCUGGGUGCUCGCGAUACCUGCCUGUGCUCCAGCCUCAUCUCAGACCCCAUUCUCCUCCCUUUCCAGUCACCCUGGGUUUCUUUGGAUCCUGCCCACACCCAGCCUUUCUCCUCUCCAGUUUUACCGUUUGCUGUUUUCUCUGCUUAGAACAUUAUGGGUGCCCCUGCUCCUGAAUUCUCCCCUCCUUGCCCUCAGGUCUCCCCCUUCCUGGGGGCAUUAAUCCUGGGCUUCUUCUCUCUGUGUCCACCCCCACCCCCACCUCGUUCCUGGCAUGUUGCUAGGCACAAAGCGGGUGCUCAGCAGCUAUUUGCUGGACAGAAUUAAAAAGUCAUCUCCUUUUUUGCAAACAAUAGUGAUAAUACGAUUUCCCUCUACUUCUGUUAUUUUGAUACUAGAGGAUGAGUGGGUGAUUUGUCUGGAUUUGUUCACUAGAAGUCACUGCAGCAGACUCUGGUGCCAAAAUGCCUGGGUUCAAACCUCAGCCCUGGCACUUAGCCAGCCAUGUGACCAGGAAACCUCAGUUUACUCAUCUGGUUUGCAGAUUUUCAGAUGAAGUACCGCCUGCUCCAUGGGCAUGCUGUGAUGCUUCAAUAUGUGUAGAGCAUGGUACCUGGUGCACAGCAAGGAUGAAUAGGAAUGUCAGCUGUAGUUGGUUAUUAGUGAGCGUGACUCUGCCUCAAGGAGCUGGUGACUAAUAAAUCAUCAUGAAUAUGCUUGCGUUUGCCUUAAUGUGAAAAGAAGGCCUCCCUCCCCAUCUCACCCCCUCAACAGGCGGUACAGUUCUUCUGGUGUGAUGUGGUAAGUUAGAAGUGGUGUGUCUCAGCUGAGAGCCCAGCUGUGUGUGAAUUUCCAUAGCACUAAAUAUUGACUUACUUAAGGGAACCUUUCAGUGAAUCUUCUCUGAUGGGCAAAGUUUCCCCACCUAACGUUUCUGGUUUUGUACAUUUAGGUUUUGGAGUUUGUAUUUCUGCUGUCAGCUCAAAGCGUGAGCCCAUGAGUCACUCUCUGUGCCACCUUGGUUUACCCGUCGCUGACAGUGGGCUCUCGUUCAGCACCCAGGACAGCGCCCAGCACUCAUAGGUGUUUGAGAACUAUUUCUUCAAUAAAUGAAUGAAUGAGGGCUUGCUAUAUUCCAAGCCCUGCAGCUACAGAGAGGAAUUAAACCUAACAGAUGAGAUAAGAUGAACCUACAAAUAAUUAGAAUACCAGUGACGGGACAGAAACAAAAAAUAGAGGUGCUGGUAUUCAAGCCUGGGCCUGCCUGCACGGCGGGCAGAGGGCUGGUUCCCAGGAGGGAGACCCAGGCCCAGCUCCACCCCAUCAAAUCCCAAUGGGGCAGGUGGCUCCCUCUUGCCCUGCCCCCCACUGGCCCAGGGCCUACCUCAAAAAGCCAGACAAGGAGCGUCACAGCACCCACGGAAUUCAUGAGGUUGCUGUAGUAGCUCAGCAGGGCGACCCUGCAGCCGCGCACCCACAGGUUGAGCUCCU